CCCGAGCAGACGGAGACGAGCAUUAGCUUAUCAUAUCCUACGUUAAGUUCACUCUGUUUUUUGUUAAAUGGUGUGUUCACUUUGUUCUUUACAUGAUCUCAAAAGGACCACUUCUUGCCCACACAAAAAAUUACAAAACAAAAGCAAAACUAUAUCCUUAAAACUAUAACGUAUUCUUUGAAUUUUAGGGUGCUAAGAAAAAAUUAAUUAUAAGGACCACCAACAAUUGAAAAUGAAGGAAAAUCGAAGGGGAGAUGUGAGAAAAAAGGGACAACGCUUAUUUAUUCUGUUAUUGUAAAUAACAACCCCAAAAGCUUAGGUCAUAGACUCGAGACAUGAGUACAGUUUGGCAUGUGAAACCUUUUAUGUCCUGUCUCUUUCACUACCC